ensembl:lncRNA
GUUUCCAUCAGGCCUGCAGUGGCCUUGUGUUCUCAGAGCCUCAGAGCAUCCAUGGUGGGGCCCAGACAGGAGGAGUGUGAGCGUAGGUGGUUUCCAUCAGGCCUGCAGUGGCCUUGUGUUCUCAGAAAACCAGUCGUAUUCUCAGAGCCUCAGACAGCCAUGGUGGGGCCCAGACAGGAGGAGUGUGAGCGUAGGCGGUUUCCAUCAGGCCUGCAGUGGCCUUGUGUUCUCAGAAAACCAGUCGUCUUCUCAGAACCUCAGACAGCCAUGGUGGGGCCCAGACAGGAGGAGUAUGAGCGUAGGUGGUUUCCGCCUUCUGAUAUUGUCUGAAGGGCACAACACUCAAAACAGG